rnacentral:rRNA from 1 species
GGCUCAGAUUGAACGCUGGCGGCAUGCCUUACACAUGCAAGUCGAACGGUAACGGGCCUUCGGGUGCCGACGAGUGGCGAACGGGUGAGUAAUGCAUCGGAACGUACCUUCAGUGGGGGAUAACGUAGCGAAAGUUACGCUAAUACCGCAUAUUCUGUGAGCAGGAAAGCAGGGGAUCGCAAGACCUUGCGCUGAUUGAGCGGCCGAUGUCAGAUUAGCUAGUUGGUGAGGUAAAGGCUCACCAAGGCGACGAUCUGUAGCGGGGUCUGAGAGGAUGAUCCGCCACACUGGAACUGAGACACGGUCCAGACUCCUACGGGAGGCAGCAGUGGGGAAUUUUGGACAAUGGGGGCAACCCUGAUCCAGCCAUGCCGCGUGAGUGAAGAAGGCCUUCGGGUUGUAAAGCUCUUUCGGCCGGGAAGAAAUCGCAUGGGUUAAUACCCUGUGCGGAUGACGGUACCGGCAUAAGAAGCACCGGCUAACUACGUG